UACAGAGGUCCCAAGCGUUGUUCGGAUUCACUGGGCGUAAAGAGUGCGUAGGUGGCCAGGUAAGUUCGGUGUGAAAGCUCGGAGCUUAACUCCGAAAUGGCAUUGAAUACUAUCUGGCUAGAGGGUCGGAGGGGAGACUGGAAUUCUCGGUGUAGCAGUGAAAUGCGUAGAUAUCGAGAGGAACACCAGUGGCGAAGGCGAGUCUCUGGACGACUCCUGACACUGAGGCACGAAAGCCAGGGGAGCAAACAGG
rnacentral:rRNA from 1 species